AGAGUUUGAUCCUGGCUCAGAACGAACGCUGGCGGCGUGCCUAACACAUGCAAGUCGAACGGAUUUGAGGGGCUUGCUCCUCAAGUUAGUGGCGCACGGGUGAGUAACGCGUAGAUAAUCUGCCUGAUGAUCCGGGAUAACACUUCGAAAGGGGUGCUAAUACCGGAUAAGCCCACGGGGUCUUUGGAUUCUGCGGGAAAAGGGGGGGACCUUCGGGCCUUCUGUCAUCAGAUGAGUCUGCGUACCAUUAGCUAGUUGGUAGGGUAAUGGCCUACCAAGGCUACGAUGGUUAGCUGGUUUGAGAGAAUGAUCGGCCACACUGGAACUGAGACACGGUCCAGACUCCUACGGGAGGCAGCAGUGGGGAAUUUUGCGCAAUGGGCGAAAGCCUGACGCAGCAACGCCGCGUGAGUGAUGAAGGCUUUCGGGUCGUAAAGCUCUGUCGAGGGGAAAGAAGUGUAUUGUGGCUAAUAUCCGCGAUACUUGACGGUACCCCUAAAGGAAG
rnacentral:rRNA from 1 species